rnacentral:ncRNA from 4 species
GUCUACGGCCAUACCACCCUGAA